GCUAGCUGCCUUGCGGUUGCCAGUUUGUCUUUUAAGGUUUGUGAGAGGUACGUGUCUACGUAUUCGUGUCGUCAGUGGACAGUGACAUAUAUUGAAGACCACGGGAGUUAGGAAGCUAGCAGUGGGUGUAAGUGACGAGGCGUUGAGCAGCUCGAACGAGACCCUCCCUCACACGCACUACAGGGCUGAUGAUUCUCAACACCCUCAACACUGAUAACGUGGACAGCACCUUUAAAACUGCUACAUUUAGCCACCUCGGACUGGAAGUACUUAAACUUUUUAAAAGAACUUGGUGUUUGGACGUGACGUAUGCCUAGGGGCCUGUUGUCGUGGCGCAAGCUUCUAGCCUGUCUUCACUUCUUACCAACAUCUCUACACCUUCCUGGAGCUUCAACCAUGGCUGGCAUUCUUGCUCUUGUGCACCUUCAACAUGCUGAUCGAGCUGAUAAAGCAAGGUUACCAAGGAGACUGGUCAAGGAUCACCAAAACCCUUUUGCUGCCUACUCUGAGGAUGAGUUCAUUCGGAGGUACCGGCUGUCAAAGGAGUGCAUUCACACCCUUCUUGGCCAAGUGGAAGUGCUUUCCUCUAUCCCAAAAUUGUAAUGCAUAUCAGUUCAAUCUUAAACUCUAUUGCAUCUGUCAUUUGAUACAUUGUUAUGUGACUCAAUACAAGAUACAAGUACCAUGUAGGAUGUAAUUAUAUAUUUUCCUGUGAAGGACAAGACAUGAAAGAAAUGUUAUAUAUAAUCAUAUAUGAACCCUCAAAGUGUAGGUCAUGAAAAUAAAUGGAGGUCAAGA